rnacentral:rRNA from 1 species
UACGUAGGUGGCAAGCGUUGUCCGGAAUUAUUGGGCGUAAAGCGCGCGCAGGUGGUUUCUUAAGUCUGAUGUGAAAGCCCACGGCUCAACCGUGGAGGGUCAUUGGAAACUGGGGAACUUGAGUGCAGAAGAGGAGAGUGGAAUUCCAAGUGUAGCGGUGAAAUGCGUAGAGAUUUGGAGGAACACCAGUGGCGAAGGCGGUUUCCUGGAGCCCACUUGACGCUGAGACGCGAAAGCUGGGGGAGCAAACGGG